CACGUAGGCGGAUCGAUCAGUUAGGGGUGAAAUCCCAGGGCUCAACCCUGGAACUGCCUCUAAUACUGUCGAUCUGGAGUUCGAGAGAGGUGAGUGGAAUUCCGAGUGUAGAGGUGAAAUUCGUAGAUAUUCGGAGGAACACCAGUGGCGAAGGCGGCUCACUGGCUCGAUACUGACGCUGAGGUGCGAAAGCGUGAGAGCAAACA
rnacentral:rRNA from 1 species